UACAUCUAUAGAAAUGCGAGAUAUGAUG
rnacentral:sRNA from 1 species